ensembl:lncRNA LINC01612 long intergenic non-protein coding RNA 1612
GGACUCAGAACAGGAACUGUGUUAGGGAUAAAAACCCCUGCCCUACCUGGCUAGGUGUGCUCUUGUGAUUGUGACUGACACAGGCAGCACCCUUUUGCAGAAGUAGAUGUGCGUUGCUGAGAAAUUUUCUGCCUAAGUUCUGGUUUUCUUUGCAGCACCCAGCAUUUGUUUCUAACACAGGGAAAGAGUGAGCUGGAGAAACCUCUCAAAUUCAAGAAAGCGUAAAGCAAAUUGAACAAUACGGGUGAGGAGCACGGACUAUUCUCUCAUGUUGAAUGUGGCACUUUUUACAUACAAGCAGGAGAGCAACUACACCAAGAUUUUGGAAAACAUGUUAUGUAAGGUUAAUUGUGACCUCUAUGAUGGGGAUAUGAUAAAGAAGAAAAGUACCUCACAGCGAUGAUUGGCAUGUGAUCACUUAGCCAAUGAGAUAAGAGGCUGUAGAAACGAUGUGAUAAUGACAUCUCCUGAGUUGCAGGUCCAUAUUAGAAGUGGAUAUGAAGUAAACAUUGAGCUUUCCUCACAUUUAAUUAACAAGCUUUAUUAUAGAUACAGCUCAAAUUAGUUAAUUCAGGAAGCUUAUUUUGUAGAAAUUAAAACAUUAAUAAACACAUACAUUUAGAAAUAAAGAACUCGGCUGACCCUUUGACUCUUUGAAACAAGUGGCCUUCCAUGCUGUGAAAGAUUGUAGCCACUCUUUGAGACAUUGGAAUGGUGUCCAUUGCAUUUUAUCAAGUUAACUAUAGGUCAGCCUGGGAAAUCUGAAGUUUCCUUAUCUCCUGUCACUGUGGUUGCUGUGAGAUUUUGUGUCAUCACUGUGCUGUCUUCCCUCUCCACAUGAAGGUGAGCUGUCUGGCUUCACUCUAACGUUUGUGAUUUCACGCCCGACCUGAUUGUUGCCAAGCAAUUCCUUUGUUUGGAGAAUUCUGUGCUUUGUUUAGAAUUUUUUAAAGGUUCUUUUCCUGUGGUCAGAUUUCUGUUUGCUACUGUGUCUUAUGCCUUGUUCUCCUACAGAGAAGAUUCUUUGAAGUUAGUGGAAGCUCAGCUUAAAGGAAGAUCUACUGCUCUGUGUGGUGGAUGACCAUGGGGGAGCGAGAAGGCAGCCUCCGGCUUUUGUUUUGUGUGUGUGUGUGUGUGUGUGUGUGUGUGAUGUACCUGGAAAAAUAACACGACUAGGAUUAAAGAGUAUGUUUGGCAUGUUUAAAAUAAAUUGUAAACCAAACGUAUUUUAAAGAAUUUAUACAAAUUUGUCAUUUAGUAAAAUGAAUGACUAUUGAGUAUUCAUGUCAAUAAAACAACCACUUGAAUACAACAAAGCAUGCGUUGCGCAUGUUUCUCCCACUGUUUUUCUCCAUCUAUAACCUCCCUACUCAUCAGUUUGAGAUUUUUUAUAUGGAAUAAGUGUGGUUCUUGCAAGGAAAUUAUCUUUAGAAUAAGGAUAAAGUAUUUAAGAAUAUGUACUUAAAACUUAGCAAACCCAUUGGAAAAUGAUCCAGAAAAAUGGUAUUCAGAGAUAAAAAUCAGAAUGUGUUUGGGAGAAGAGCACUGACGAAGGUUGGUGUAUGUGGCAUGUAAAUAAUACAUUGAUUUAGAUGGACUUUUACUAUGGGGGAAAGCUCAUCAAGCCUCACGUAAUGAGUUAGUGUCUACCCUUUUCUUUGAAAAUUUCAUUUUCAUUACAAUGGGUUUUGGGCAUUUGUACUUUGUUAUCUCUUCAAGUUCAUACAAUUAAAGUGGAACUCGACUUCUUUUGCUUGGAGAUACUAAAAAUUCUGUGCAGUGGAAGGAACUGUGACCUUUCUUAAAUGGGUCCAUCUUCUAGCUCAAAAAAAUAAUUCUUAGAUGGUGCUUUAACGCCUAGUUUUAGUGCAAGACAGAUUGUCAGGGUAAUAAAUUAAAGGCACCUCACUGCAGCGCUGUUGGCCAAUGUUCUACCACAGGCCCAUAUUAAUAUUUUAUUCCCUUUAAUAUUAUUACAUGAUGCAGGCUUUAUUUAAAUGGAUUUGAUGGGUCUCUUGGUUGGCUUGACAACCAGAGGGAAAAAUUAAUGUUCUGCAUUUAAUCUCAGCUCAAGGCACUAAAUUAUUUUGGAGGUCAAAAUCGUCAUGCAUAUCAUGCUAAAUUAUUGAAUGUAAUAACUAUUAGCUAGCUGUCUACUUAUGGGUUUUAAAAAUUGUUUACUUCAUGCAUCUUGAGCUAAUUUUAAAGUAAAUCCCUCUUUUAGUUUUUUCCCUCCUAUAUGCCACUAUUAUCUUAGCCCUUGCAAUUGUGAUAAUAUAACUAAUGGAAGAUGCCAGGUGCCCUUCUUGUAAGUGAAAUCUAACUGACUAAAUGUUAAUAAAUCGCCAAAAGCAUUCCUCCUUUUGCUGGUUCCAUCUUCAUAUGAAGUUCAAGUAUGUUAAGAGAAAUAGUCAUUUUGUUGUAAUGGAAGCUAUUAUCUUAUUUAAAAAAAUCACAUAAUAUUUUGCCAAAAA